GAUUAACGCUGGCGGCGUGCAUAACACAUGCAAGUCGAACGAUGAAACUUAAAUGAUUUCUUCGGAAUGAACUUAAGUGGAUUAGUGGCGGACGGGUGAGUAACGCGUGAGUAUCCUGCCUUACACAAGGGGAUAGCCGUUGGAAACGACGAAUAAUACCCUAUGAAACUAUCACUUCGCAUGAAGCGAUAGUCAAAGUGUUAGCGGUGUAAGAUGGACUUGCGUCUGAUUAGCUAGUUGGUGAGAAAAAAGCCCACCAAGGCAACGAUCAGUAGCCGGCUUGAGAGAGUGUACGGCCACAUUGGGACUGAGACACGGCCCAGACUCCUACGGGAGGCAGCAGUGGGGAAUUUUGCACAAUGGGGGAAACCCUGAUGCAGCGACGCCGCGUGAUUUAGAAGGCCUUCGGGUUGUAAAAAUCUUUUGUAUAGGAAGAAAAUGACAGUACUAUACGAAUAAGGUCCGGCUAAUUACGUG
rnacentral:rRNA from 1 species